rnacentral:rRNA from 1 species
UACAGAGGUCUCAACCGUUGUUCGGAUUCAUUGGGCGUAAAGGGUGCGUAGGCGGUCGUGCAAGUCGGAUGUGAAAUCUCAGGGGCUCAACCCUGAAACUGCAUUCGAUACUGCGUGGCUAGAGUGCUGGAGAGGAGACUGGAAUUUACGGGUGUAGCAGUGAAAUGCGUAGAUAUCGUAAGGAAGACCCAGUGGCGAAGGGCGAGUCUCUGGACAGCAACUGACGCUGAGGCACGAAGGCCAGGGGAGCAAACGGG